rnacentral:rRNA from 1 species
CGCACAGCUCAGUAACACGUGGCUAACCUGCCCUUGGGACGUGGACAACCCCGGGAAACUGGGGCUAAUCCGCGAUAGGUGAAGAACUCUGGAAUGAGUCUCCGCUUAAAGGGUAUUUAGAUUAUGCUUUUAGGUAUCGCCCAAGGAUGGGGCCGCGACCGAUCAGGUUGUUGGUGAGGUAAUGGCCCACCAAGCCUUUUACCGGUGCGGGCCGUGAGAGCGGGAGCCCGGAGAUGGGCACUGAGACAAGGGCCCAGGUCCUACGGGGCGCAGCAGUCGCGAAAACUUUGCAAUACACGAAAGUGUGACAGGGUCAUCCCGAGUGCCGACCGCUGAGGUUGGCUUUUACCCAGUCUAGAACGCUGGGGGAAUAAGGAGAGGGCAAGUCUGGUGUCAGCCGCCGCGGUAAUACCAGCUCUUCGAGUGGUGUGGACGUUUAUUGGGCCUAAAGCACCCGUAGCUGGCUGAUCAAGUCCCCUGUUAAACCCCCCGAUUUAAUCGAUGGGAGGUGCGAGGAAAUCUUGUAUGAGCUAGGGGUCGUAACAUGGCGAACUGUAUUACGGAAGAUUAGGGAUUAAAACAUAAACUCCCGGGA